rnacentral:lncRNA from 1 species
UGCUGUCGGCUCCCCCUCCCCAAGUCAUCUUCACACAUCUUCAUGUGGGCGGCAGGCAUUUGCUUCCACUGUGGAGUUGACUCCAUCUCCCAAUAGGCCUCUUCUGGAAAUUCCCUCCCCAUGUUAGAUCUGGCAGAGCCACUGGGAGACAGAGCAGCAGAGGGGAGCUGAGUGACACUAGGUUGCUAUGACAGCCAGGAAUUUGCGAACCAAAC